AGCGCACACCUCAACAGUUAUAGUUGUAUAACAUGUAUGAAAUAUUAUAGAACCAUUUAAAAUGUAUUUUUAAAUUUGACAUUCUUCCACCGUUAAACAAAUUGAUCACUGUGCAGUAAAAUCAAUUAACACUAAAACCUGUUGCCCUUUCAAUGUAGAUAAUGCCUGAAGCAUACACACGGUGUACCUUCCAUUCUUGUCUUUUAUUGAUGUCACUUGAUUACACUGAAUAACCACGACAAACGCUUACUCAUUCCUUUACAUUUGUAUUUUUAUCUAAUGAUGAUCCACCAAACUACCUACAAACCUGAAAACUUUUGUAUGUGUAUUUUCCUCAAUUUGCUCUAUUCAACCAUGUACAUAGUAUGUCUGCGACUGGAUGUGAUUGUGAAAUAACAGGUGAAAGGCAAUUUGAAUGUUUCUUCAUUAGCUGUUAAAUAUGCACACAGAAGGGAUUAUUACAUUUUUCUAUUUUGAAAAUAUGCAUCACAUUAUUUCCAAUGCAAUAAAAGUAUUCACCACACCUAUGACUGCCAUAAAAUUCUGGUCGGUAGAUAGAUAGUAUUGUAUUCGGCUUUAAAAAGUUGGUCAAAAUGGAAUGUGUUAAUUUCCGGGGGAAAUUAAUACUUCGUAAUCAAUUCACUUUUCAUAUGAAGUCAAGCGCCAGUGUUGCGUCUUCCUGUCAUGCUGUUGUCGUCACAACGCAUCUUUGGAGAUUUAAAUCCAACGUUAAACGCCUACCUAUGAAAAAUGAAAAUACACCACAUAAGUCAGUUCGUUUUUCUAAUGUAGAAGAACCUGAGAACUUUAGCUUAUUUUGACUUGUCACCAGUUGAGUGGGCUGCGUGACGUCACCAGGUAGUUCGCAGGCACUUCCCCUCCUACUUGCGAGCCACUUCGUGUUUUUAAGGGGGAGUUGGGGGCCACCUUGGUCCAAAUAUCCUCCCGAGACCAAUGAUAUGCAUCUGAUUCUGAGAUGAGCUUCGAGUGAAACGGAUUGUUGUCAUGUUAUCUUUCUCCCACCUGCUCCUCCUCCUUCUUGUGGAGGGAACCCAGAAUCGACCUUCAGAUUCAGAAGCAAAGCUACAAAGACGGGCUAAUGCACUUCGAAGGAAACGGGAUCUCCUGUGGGAUGAGUUUGGUACACUACACCGAAGAGAACCAGAGCAG